rnacentral:rRNA from 1 species
UACGAAGGGGGCUAGCGUUGCUCGGAUUGACUGGGCGUAAAGGGCGCGUAGGCGGUUCGUACAGUCAGACGUGAAAUUCCUGGGCUCAACCUGGGGGCUGCGUUUGAUACGUGCGGACUUGAGUGCGGAAGAGGGUCGUGGAAUUCCCAGUAUAGAGGUGAAAUUCGUAGAUAUUGGGAAGAACACCGGUGGCGAAGGCGGCGACCUGGUCCGAUACUGACGCUGAGGCGCGAAAGCGUGGGGAGCGAACAGG